UACGUAGGGUGCGAGCGUUAAUCGGAAUUACUGGGAGUAAAGUGUGCGCAGGCGGCCGCGCAAGUCGAGUGUGAAAUCCCCGAGCUUAACUUGGGAAUUGCGCUCGAAACUACGUGGCUGGAGUGUGGCAGAGGAAGGUGGAAUUCCACGUGUAGCGGUGAAAUGCGUAGAGAUGUGGAGGAACACCGAUGGCGAAGGCAGCCUUCUGGGCCAACACUGACGCUCAUGCACGAAAGCGUGGGGAGCAAACAGG
rnacentral:rRNA from 1 species